rnacentral:tRNA from 1 species
GACGCGGUGCGAUGUUGGUUUUGCAGCGAGACUUUCAAUCUCGCCGACGCGGGUUCGAUUCCCGUCCGCGCCA